GAGCACGGGGAGGGGCUAGAAGCCCGCUGGACAACCAUUAGCGAGCUGGAGCCAGGCGGCUCGGGGACUAUAUUUCCCAGGGGGCGUAGCGGCCGCGACCGGAAGUGGCGCGCCUGAGGCCCAAUGCGCAGGCGCAGGCGUCCCCUUGGUCUAUAUAAGGAAAGUCCGCCAUCUCCUUCGUUCUUUAUUUCCUGAGACGCCUUGGUCGUUUGCUCGUGCGCUAUGUCUCUUCCACGCGGCCAGAUGGUUGGCGUUAUAAAGCGAUACAGAGCAGGGGAUGGAGGGAGAAGAGACGUCACCUUUGGGCCUCCCAGGAGAUGAGAGAAUAAAUCUACGAUCUUCGACCUCCUAAUCUCUUCAAGGUUUGCUGACAGCAGAGAUCAGACUUUGGAUGGAGGAAGAAUCUAGAAGUAGGAAAGGAUUGGCCUGAGGGAGCCAUGGAUGCUAGUGUGUUGAUCUGAAUGAUGCUGCUUGAUUUCCGUGUCCUGGAACAGGCACUUCUGGAGUAAAGACUAAACACCUGCUUCCUGCUGGCC